rnacentral:misc_RNA from 1 species
GAUGAAGAACGUAGCGAAAUGCGAUACGUAAUGUGAAUUGCAGAAUUCAGUGAAUCAUCGAGUCUUUGAACGCACAUUGCGCCCCCUGGUAUUCCGGGGGGCAUGCCUGUCCGAGCGUCAUUGCUGCCCUCAAGCACGGCUUGUGUGUUGGGCCUCCGCCCCCCGGCUCCCGGGGGGCGGGCCCGAAAGGCAGCGGCGGCACCGCGUCCGGUCCUCGAGCGUAUGGGGCUUCGUCACCCGCUCCGUAGGCCCGGCCGGCGCCCGCCGGCGACCCCCCUCAAUCUUUCCAGGUUGACCUCGGAUCAGGUAGGAAUACCCGCUGAACUUAAGCAUAUCAAUAAGCGGAGGA